AUGCAAGUCGAACGAUGAUGCCCAGCUUGCUGGGUGGAUUAGUGGCGAACGGGUGAGUAACACGUGAGUAACCUGCCCCUGACUCUGGGAUAAGCGUUGGAAACGACGUCUAAUACUGGAUAUGAUCACUGGCCGCAUGGUCUGGUGGUGGAAAGAUUUUUUGGUUGGGGAUGGACUCGCGGCCUAUCAGCUUGUUGGUGAGGUAAUGGCUCACCAAGGCGACGACGGGUAGCCGGCCUGAGAGGGUGACCGGCCACACUGGGACUGAGACACGGCCCAGACUCCUACGGGAGGCAGCAGUGGGGAAUAUUGCACAAUGGGCGAAAGCCUGAUGCAGCAACGCCGCGUGAGGGAUGACGGCCUUCGGGUUGUAAACCUCUUUUAGUAGGGAAGAAGCGAGAGUGACGGUACCUGCAGAAAAAGCACCGGCUAACUACGUGCCAGCAGCCGCGGUAAUACGUAGGGUGCAAGCGUUGUCCGGAAUUAUUGGGCNGUNAAAGAAGGCUCGUNAGGGCGGUUUGUCGCGUCUGCUGUGAAAUCCCGAGGCUCAACCUCGGGCUUGCAGUGGGUACGGGCAGACUAGAGUGCGGUAGGGGAGAUUGGAAUUCCUGGUGUAGCGGUGGAAUGCGCAGAUAUCAGGAGGAACACCGAUGGCGAAGGCAGAUCUCUGGGCCGUAACUGACGCUGAGGAGCGAAAGCAUGGGGAGCGAACAGGAUUAGAUACCCUGGUAGUCCAUGCCGUAAACGUUGGGCGCUAGAUGUAGGGACCUUUCCACGGUUUCUGUGUCGUAGCUAACGCAUUAAGCGCCCCGCCUGGGGAGUACGGCCGCAAGGCUAAAACUCAAAGGAAUUUGACGGGGGCCCGCACAAGCGGCCGGAGCAUGCGGAUUAAUUUCGAUGCAACGCGAAGAACCUUACCAAGGCUUGACAUACACCGGAAACGGUCCCAGNANGAGAUGUGUCGCCCCCUUGUGGUCGGUGUACAGGUGGUGCAUGGUUGUCGUCAGCUCGUGUCGUGAGAUGUUGGGUUAAGUCCCGCAACGAGCGCAACCCUCGUUCUAUGUUGCCAGCGGGUUAUGCCGGGGACUCAUAGGAGACUGCCGGGGUCAACUCGGAGGAAGGUGGGGAUGACGUCAAAUCAUCAUGCCCCUUAUGUCUUGGGCUUCACGCAUGCUACAAUGGCCGGUACAAAGGGCUGCGAUACCGUAAGGUGGAGCGAAUCCCAAAAAGCCGGUCUCAGUUCGGAUUGAGGUCUGCAACUCGACCUCAUGAAGUCGGAGUCGCUAGUAAUCGCAGAUCAGCAACGCUGCGGUGAAUACGUUCCCGGGCCUUGUACACACCGCCCGUCAAGUCAUGAAAGUCGGUAACACCCGAAGCCGGUGGCCUAACCCUUGUGGAAGGAGCCGUCGAAGGUGGGAUCGGUGAUUAGGACUAAGUC
rnacentral:rRNA from 1 species